ACCGUUACUUCGCUCCCUCAGGUUCAUCAUUUCAUAAGGUGAUUCAAAUUCGACUCAUAACCCGUCUUAAAAUGUCCCUUUUUAUAAUAGACUGAAUCACCAUAAUAAUAGUUUUCCCUAAACCACUAUAUUAGGGAGACUAAAUUCCUCUAACUAAGUGGCUUGCUACAAGACAGUGUAGUUCUGACAGAAUUCACUAGAACUUCUCAAAAUGUCCAAGAUUGCAACCAUGCUCUGAUACCAACUGACACACCCCGUCCCGAAGGAGGGCAUGCUGGCCGUCACGUGAGAGUGACGUAACCAUUUGCACAGUACGGAAGCUUUAAGAUACAAUUUAUAAGUUGAUACACCCGAAGGUGAGUCCUAAUUUUGUCCAAUCUGUCAGAACCCCGCUGUAUUCCUCGUAGUCACCACACCUUUGUGAUUCCUGAACCUGGAGGGGCGCAAAACCAAAAUUCAGUGGGUCAGUAAAACAAUUCUUUUCCAAAUCCAAACAUUUUUCAAAAACGUUGUAACCCCUCUCUCUGUAAAACCUGUAUAUUUUCCCAGAAAUGUAAAAUAUAAAUAUACAUAUAUAUUCUCAAUACUUUAAUUCAUUAACUCAACAUUUUUUUCUUUAUCAAUCAUGCCAUGCCAUGUCUAAUUCAAACAGUUAAGUAUGGAUGCAUCAACAAUAAUCAUAUCAGGUGCAAGAAAGUAAUCAACCGGAGGCCCUCUAAUAGCCCUGUACGGUUGAACCUAGAGCUCAAAAUCUAUCACUAUCACUCUACCGGAGUCACCUCUGUGACCCGUCCGGCCUUCUGCACACAAGUUACGCUCUAGUGCUUCUCAUAAAUCAUCUGUGCACAUAAUCUAAGGUCACCCACCAGUCGGAAUCUCACUAACACUCUCGCGACUGGCCUGUCGUACCCACUCCGCGUGGACUGUACGACUAGCAUCUACUUGGAUCCAAGGCGAGCGUGCGAUGCGGUGAAUACUAUAAGCACUAAACCAUGGUGCAGGAUUUGAGCUCAAUAUAUAUCAUCAUCAUCAUAACAGUAAUUAAAUACUCACCUGUGCGUCCACCGCACCAUUUCAUACAUAUGCAUCAUAAAUCAAUUCUUACCUGUGCGUCCACCGCACCAAUUCAUACAUAUGCAUCAUAAAUCAAUUCUUACAUGUGCGUCCACCGCACCAAUUCAUACAUAUGCAUCAUAUAUUAAUUCAUGCAUGGCAUUUCAACUCACAUUUCUAUAUACUUUUUCAUAUACUUUUAUGCAUUUUCAUUUAAAGCAUAAUUUCAUGCAUUUUCAAUUUCUGGGAAACGUCAAGUAUAUAUAUAUAUAUACGGAAAACAAAACUGCCCACUCACCUGGAGUUCGCCCUACAACUCCCUAGCACAAUACGCCAAGGCGUCAUGACGAUCGGCGCCUAAAACAAUAAUCAAUUCCAACCUCAGAAUUCAUAUCGAUAGAAUAUAUAACUUAUAUAAAAUACGUCACUACGUAGAUUGAUCCGGAAGAUCCACCCACUCAGAUUUUAAUCCAUAACUUCCAGAGGUCCACAUUAUACCUCUAGGACAACAUCCUAAAAUUUCAUUACCAUCCAACGGUCGGAUCUCCGUCAAUUUCCAAAACUAAGUGACGGUUAACAUUUUUUAUAUUAUGGACUUACAAUUCCAAUUCCGGAAGAUCCGUAACUCGGAUUCCCAAUCCGUAAGUUCCAAUAAUCCUCAAAUAUUACGUAUUACAACGUAUCAAAGUUUGGUGACGAUCCAACGGUCGGAUCGUCAAUUCACAUUUUCACCUAAAUGUGAAAAUUAUAAAACGUUAUUUGAACACCUAACCAACAAUCCUCAAUAACUUUCUCAUACGGUGUUCAAUUUAGGUAUAUGAAUAUACCAUAGUGAUCUACUCGACGUCACGGACGUCGACAUAUUUUUAAAAUAAUUUUAUUUUAUUUUUUUAUUUUUACUGUAGCACCUUCUUCUUCCUUGGGUCGCCGGACUGGUUUUUCCGGCGGCCGUUUUCUGGGCAGUUUUUUCAAAUUGCCAUUAACUUUGUCAUUUCUCAACGAAAUCAAGUGAUUCAAAAACGAAAGUUGUAGCCCUUGAAGAGACAAAGAGAAUGGUACCUUGCACAACACCUAUUUAGCCGUGGUUUGGCCGGAAACUGCCUCGAAAGCCUCGGAGGUCGCCGGAAACUGGGUAUUUUUCAAAUGAGUAUAAACUUCUUCAAUACUCAACGAAAUUGAGUGAAACAAAAAUGAAAGUUGUAGUACUUGACGAGACGAAGAGAUUGAUACCUACCUCGACUCCUAACUCGCCGGGGAUUCGCCGGAAAACGCCUCGAAAGCUCCGGCCAAACUUUGAACUUGUCGAUCUCCGUGUUCUUACGUCCAAAAACUUCCAACGAAGCACUCCGAGCUUCCUUGGGACAUCCUAAAGCUCACUAUGAGCUUGGUUUUGGCCUAAAACACAACCAAUUCAAAGCUCAUGAACAGUACACAUUCACGGCAACUUUAGAAACUAGGGUUUUCGAAGUGAAACUUAC
rnacentral:lncRNA from 1 species